rnacentral:rRNA from 1 species
GACAGAGGUCCCGAGCGUUAGGCGGAAUCACUGGGCUUAAAGCGUGUGUAGGCGGAUCGUUAAGUGCCUUGUGAAAUCCCACGGCUUAACCGUGGAACUGCUUGGCAUACUGGCGGUCUUGAGCCACUUAGGGGCAACCGGAACAAAUGGUGGAGCGGUGAAAUGCGUAGAUAUCAUUUGGAACGCCAAUGGUGAAAACAGCUCGCUGGGGGUUUGCUGACGCUGAGACGCGAAAGCGUGGGGAGCAAACAGG